CAGCAGCCGCGGGAAUACGAAGGGGGCUAGCGCUGUUCGGAAUCACUGGGCGUAAAGGGUGCGUAGGCGGGCAUUUAAGUCAGGGGUGAAAUCCCGAGGCUCAACCUCGGAACUGCCCUUGAUACUGGGUGUCUUGAGUCCGGAAGAGGUGAGUGGAACUGCGAGUGUAGAGGUGAAAUUCGUAGAUAUUCGCAAGAACACCGGUGGCGAAGGCGGCUCACUGGUCCGGAACUGACGCUGAGGCACGACAGCGUGGGGAGCAAACAGGAUUAGAUACCCCGGUAGUCCCUGUCUCUUAUAC
rnacentral:rRNA from 1 species